GACGAACGCUUGCGGCGUGCUUAACACAUGCAAGUCGAACGGAAAGGCCCUGCUUUUGUGGGGUGCUCGAGUGGCGAACGGGUGAGUAACACGUGAGUAACCUGCCCUUGACUUUGGGAUAACUUCAGGAAACUGGGGCUAAUACCGGAUAGGAGCUCCUGCUGCAUGGUGGGGGUUGGAAAGUUUCGGCGGUUGGGGAUGGACUCGCGGCUUAUCAGCUUGUUGGUGGGGUAGUGGCUUACCAAGGCUUUGACGGGUAGCCGGCCUGAGAGGGUGACCGGCCACAUUGGGACUGAGAUACGGCCCAGACUCCUACGGGAGGCAGAAGUGGGGAAUAUUGCACAAUGGGCGGAAGCCUGAUGCAGCAACGCCGCGUGCGGGAUGACGGCCUUCGGGUUGUAAACCGCUUUCGCCUGUGACGAAGCGUGAGUGACGGUAAUGGGUAAAGAAGCACCGGCUAACUACGUG
rnacentral:rRNA from 1 species